ACGAACGCUGGCGGCGUGCCUAACACAUGCAAGUCGAACGGGGUCCAUGGGAGCUUGCUCCCAGAAGACCUAGUGGCGAACGGGUGAGUAACACGUGAGGAACCUACCCCGGAGUGGGGAAUAACCCGAGGAAACUCGAGCUAAUACCGCAUACCUUCUGCUGAUCACAUGGUCGGCAGAAGAAAGAAUUUCGCUCUGGGAGGGCCUCGCGGCCUAUCAGCUAGUUGGUGAGGUAACGGCCCACCAAGGCAACGACGGGUAGCUGGUUUGAGAGAACGAUCAGCCACACUGGAACUGAGACACGGUCCAGACUUCUACGGGAGGCAGCAGUGGGGAAUCUUGCGCAAUGGGCGAAAGCCUGACGCAGCAACGCCGCGUGCGGGAUGACGGCCUUCGUGGUUGUAAACCGCUUUCAGCAGGGACGAAAAUGACGGUACCUGCAGAGGAAGCCCCGGCUAACUACGU
rnacentral:rRNA from 1 species